rnacentral:sRNA from 1 species
UAUAUAAAUUUGCAACGUGCGCGUGCCAAAUGGUGAAAAUUGUGCGUAACAAAAAGCCAGAGAGACUGCUUCGGCCGCAGUGCCCGUAGUGGUGGCAACUUUUUUCGACUUGCUUUAUGUGUGCUUCGUUAUCGUGUACGUAUACGUCGCGCUGACAUACAUGUGUUGGUGUGAAAACGUUGAAACAGUCAGGCUAGCAACGUGCUCGCUGUAAAACCAACAACAGUGUAAGAGAGACAACUCUACUGCAGCAUGCAUACGUGCGUGCGUGUAUAUAUUACACACAUAUGUAGAUAUAUCUGGAAAUUAAAGCAAGCGUCAAGUGCAAGCAGCAGCAGCAGCAGCAGCAGCAGCGGAGCAGCCUGGCCACACUGUGACUCCCGAAUCCGCCAAGCAGCCGCAGCGCCCGCGACUGGCACCGAAAGCCAACCAAACGCCUGAGCGUGCGCAUAGAGAACGCAUGAACCAAAUAGAACGGAUCAGAUAAAAGAGAUAAGAAGUCGAAGAAGAGGCGCAGCAGAAAACGAAUAUAAAGCGGAAACGACAAAAGGACUGCGAAAGGCGACUUCACACAUAUAUAAUAUAUAUAUUUAUAUAUA